rnacentral:tRNA from 1 species
GGGGGCUUGUGGGGCUUAGCUCAGCUGGGAGAGCGCCUGCUUUGCACGCAGGAGGUCAGCGGUUAGAUCCCGCUAGGCUCCAUUGAAUCGAAAGAUUCAAAUUGUUCAUUGAAAAUUGAAUAUCUAUAUCAAAUUCCACGAUCUAGAAAUAGAUUGUAGAAAGUAACAAGAAAAUAAACCCUAAAACGCUGUGAAUAUUUAAUGAGUUUUCUAGUUUUAAAGAAACUAGGUUAAA